rnacentral:rRNA from 1 species
GUGUCAGCCGCCGCGGUAAGACGUAGGAGGCGAACGUUAUCCGGAUUUAUUGGGCGUAAAGAGAGCGUAGGCGGCUUUUUAAGUCAAGUGUGAAAUCUUAUGACUCAAUCAGAAGACGCCGCUUGAUACUGGAAGGCUUGAGGGAAGCAGAAGGAAAUGGAAUUCCCAGUGUAGCGGUGAAAUGCGUUGAUAUUGGGAAGAACACCAGUGGCGAAGGCGAUUUUCUAGGCUUUUCCUGACGCUGAGGCUCGAAAGCGUGGGGAGCGAAGCGGAUUAGAUACCCGCGUAGUCCACGCCUUAAACGGUGGACAUUAGGUAUGGGGAGUAUCGACCCUCUCCGUGUCGAAGCUAACGCUUUAAAUGUCCCGCCUGGGGAGUACGGCCGCAAGGCUAAAACUUAAAUGAAUUGGCGGGG